CGUUGUUCGGAAUUACUGGGCGUAAAGCGCAUGUAGGCGGACAUUUAAGUCAGGGGUGAAAUCCCGGGGCUCAACCUCGGAACUGCCUUUGAUACUGGGUGUCUAGAGUGUGGAAGAGGUAAGUGGAAUUCCGAGUGUAGAGGUGAAAUUCGCAGAUAUUCGGAGGACGCCCCAGUGGCGAAGGCGGCUUACUGGUCCAUUACUGACGCUGAGGUGACGAAAGCGUGGGGAGC
rnacentral:rRNA from 1 species